rnacentral:rRNA from 1 species
GACGAACGCUGGCGGCGUGCUUAACACAUGCAAGUCGAACGAAGUGGCGAACGGGUGAGUAACGCGUAAUCAACCUGCCCUUCAGAGGGGGACAACAGUUGGAAACGACUGCUAAUACCACAUCCUGAAGGACGCGAUUGCGUCUGUUUAGCUGGUGGGAGUGGUGACGGCCUACCAAGGCGAUGAUCAGUAGCCGGUCUGAGAGGAUGAACAGCCAAAUGGGGAAUGAGGACAGGGCCAGACUGCCACGGGAGGCAGCAGUGGGGAAACUUCCGAAAUGGAGGAAAGUCUGACGGAGCAAAGCCGCGUGAGUGAUGACGGCCUUCGGGUUGUAAAGCUCUGUUAAUCGGGACGCGGUACCGGAAUAGAAAGCCACGGCUAACUACGUGCCAGCAGCCGCGGUAAUUC